rnacentral:misc_RNA from 1 species
UGUGAGUGGUGUUUGGUUGUGUGCGUCGGCAGGCUCCGUGCUUAACGCAUCGAACUGUCGACCCUCGUACCUCUUCAAUCUUUCCCCCGCGGUCUAUGUUCCUCGGGGGUGCAAUCGGGAUCCUGUGCUGCUUACCUAUACCGAUGGAAUUCGGAUGUCGUGCCGACCCUCGUCCCUCUCGCGCCUUUACGGACGGGCUGCGCGGGGGACUUUCAUUCGUGCCCGGUGUUCCAAGUGCGCCCCCGAUUCGGUGCGGCCUCCUUGGGGCGCCGGUGCACGAGGGUGCUGACGGAUGCGGAAAGUUUUGUGGGAUUUGGGCCGUGGCCCCGUUGGUUGGAUGCGAUGCGUUUUGUCCCUCGAUAUGUAGGACGCUCGUGCCCCGUCUUGGACUCUUCGUUGCCCAUGGGGCGCGUCGAGGCCCAUGCGGUGCCGACGUCGCU